rnacentral:rRNA from 1 species
CCUGGAUGAUUCUGCCAUUAGCGUUUGCGUGUCUCAAAGAUUAAGCCAUGCACGGUAAGUGCACACAACCGGUACAGUGAAACUUCAAAUAGCUCAUUAAAUCGGUUAUGGUUCCUUGUGAUCGCUCCAGCUGUUACUUGCAUAACUGUGGUAAUUCUAGAACUAAUACAUGCCGACGAGUGCAGACCUCCCGGGAUGCGUGCAUUUAUCAGACCAAGACCAUUCUGGGCUCGCCCGGCCGCUUUGGUGACUCUAGAUACCCUUGGGCCGAUUGCACGUCCCAGUGACGGCGACUAUGCAUUCGGAUGUCUGCCCUAUCAACUUUCGAUGGUACUUUGUGCCUACCACGGUGACCACGGGUAAUGGGGAAUCAGGGUUCGAUUCUGGAGAGGGAGCCUGAGAAACGACUACCACAUUAAGGAAAGCAGGGCGCCCAAAUUACCCACUCCUGACUCUGGGAGGUAGUGACGAAAAAUAACAAUACAGGACUCUUUCGAGGCACUGUAAUUUGAAUGAGUAUACUUUAAAUCCUUUAACAAGUACCCAUUGGAGGGCAAGUCUGGUGCCAGCAGCCGUGGUAAUUCCAGCUCCAAUAGCAUAUAUUAUAGUUGCUGCAGUUAAAAGGCUUGUAGUUGGAUCUUGGGAUCGAGCUUGCAGCUCGCUUCGUGGCGGGCCAUGGCCUGUCGCUGCCUCUUGGCGCCCCCUUGAUGCUGUUGACGGAGUGCCCUGGGGGUCUGAAGCAUUUACUUUGAAAAAAGUUGUGUUCAAAGCAGGCCGGUCGCCUGAAUACUUCAGCUAGGAUUAAUGGAAUAGGACUCCGGUUCUAUUUUGUUUUUCGGAAACUGGGCCGAUGAUUAAGAGGGACGCUCGGGGCCAUUCGUAUUGUGCUGCUAGAGGUGAAAUUCUUGGAUAGGCGCAAGACUAACCAAAGUGAAAGUGUUAGCCAAUAAUAUUUUCAUUAAUCAAGAACGACCGUUUGAGGUUCGAAGAUGAUCUGAUACCCCGACCAUAAACGGUGCUGAUUAGCGAUCUGGCGGCGUUAUUCCAAUGAUCCCCUGUGCCGCUUCCGGGAAACCAAAGUCUUUGGGUUCUGUUGGGAGUAUGGUUGCAAAGCUGAAACUUAAAGGAAUUGACGGAUGGGCACCACCAGGAGUGGAGCCUGCGGUUUAAUUUGACUCAAAACGGGAAACCUCACCCGGACACGGAAAAGAUUGACAGAUUGAUAGCUCUUUCUCGAUUCUGUGGGUGGUGGUGCAUGGCUGUUCUUAGUUGGUGGAGAGAUUUUGUCUGGUUAAUUCCGACGAACGAGACUCCUCCAUGCUAACUAAUUAUUUCCCAUGAACGAGAAAUUCCCAUUAAGUGUGGGUCAUAAGCUUGCGUUGAUUAAGUCCCUACCCUUUGUACACACCACCCGGCGCUACUACUGAUUGGGUGGUUUAGUGAGGUCCUCGGAUUGGCCUCGCCGGCACCGCUCCCCUGGCGGAGUGGCGAGAAGAUGAUCAAACUUGACUAGAGGAAGUAAGUCGUACGGGUUGGCUUAACCUGCUGGGGACGUCCCC